AAAGGGUUCUACAAGGAAGGUUUAUGAAAACCUUGAGAAUAAAAAUGCAGAAUAAUCAUAUCCUUAUAGAUUGUAUCAAGACGACAGAAAUUGUAUGAUCAGACCCCUGACCAUCGCCUCAGCUCAUCAUUGCGUCAUCUGGAUGGCUUCCCUAAGCUCCCACCUGGGCCCAGAAAGGAAACGGCUUAUGACCUGCAGUCUUUGACUAUCACCAUCUCCAUUCUAUUUAUGGCCCUGCUGCACCUCUGUGCAAAUUAGGAGAAGGUGACCCUCUUGUGGGGAUGGAGGAGAAGGACAAACCAGGCCGUGAUCUGGCCAGUAAAGUGGGACUGGGCUGGCUCCUGGUGGGCUUUGGUAAGGUGUAACCUGCACCAUGGUCAUUACUGCCCAAAAUGAGAGCCAUCAGCUUGCUAAGAAUCGCUGAGCCCGGAGCGCCACUCUUGGGUGAAGAUGCUUCUUUCAGAUCCCCGCCUACCCACCUGCAAGGCUUGCAGGAAGUCUUGAGAAGAACCAAGAAGGAGGCUGAUGCUCCUAGUUGUUCAUGAGCAGCCAAUGUGGUAGGCUGAUGCCUAACAGUUUCCACCUUCUUCUGCAUUUGUGGCUGAGGAUCUACCCAUGAGCCCCACAGAGCAAGAGCUGCCAGAUUAAUGCUCCUGCCUAUGACAUGGAAAUUGUCAAAAAUAGACCUGAAUCCUUGCCAGGCCUCCCCAUGAUUUCUGUGUAGUAUGGCCUUAAAUAUAUUAGAUAAGUCAGAAGCCUAAAAUAGCUCAGCUCUUAGAAUAACAGAAUUUGGUCCCCUCCCACUUCCGUAAGUUGAAUUCUUAAUUGCUAAAUUUCAGGCUUUUUUGUUGUUGUUUAUGUAAGAAUUUCAAGGCCACAACUCCAUAUUUGAAGUAAAGUGCUCAUAAAAUUAAUUGCAAGGUUUUGAGAAGCCAUCUGCAGCUCACAACUAGAUGAGUGACACAAUCAGAUGUGCGUAUGCAAAAAAAAGCCUGGAGACAUUGAACUAAGAUCAAAUUUAAUGUAUUAAAUAUGGUAGAAAGAAGAGAGAAUGAAAAAUAAUGUUAACAAUCUAGGUGAGGAAUUGCUGAGGAGACAAAUUAAGUAAAUCCUGUGGAAGGAAAGAAGAAAGGAGGAAAGAGGAUUGGAUGGAAGAAUCUCCACUUCUCAUAGGUGUAGUCCUUCCUUAGCCUGCUUUUUAAUGAGUGCUGCUAAAGCCCUUAGCCUGCCUGUUUACCCUUGGAGUGGAGCAAUGAACUGAAGAUAUUUGAGUGAGUUCAAGAGAGACUCAGAAGAGAAGAAUUGGAGGCAGCAAACAUAGACAGCACUUUUAAUGCUUUUCUCAUAUGCUGUAAGACAUGAAAGCAAUCUAUUGGGAUGAAAGCUGAAAGGAGAAGCGGGACAAGAGAAGUGAAUCCGUGGAAGACCCCCAAAAGAGGCUGCAGAUUCUUAGUGGACAGCUCUCAUAUCCCCUCCAGGGAAAAUGAUGAAAAAUGUCUUCAGAAAAAUAGCUUUAUGAAGGCAAGAGGACUUUUUGCACCUGCAAGACAUGUCUGAAAGCUCCUCAGGUCAAAACACAAGUAGUCAAGAGAUUUGUCCAUCUAAUUCAUCAUACUACUCUGAUCCAAGUGAGACCCACACUGGGUCAGCUCCAUCAAGGAGAAGAACAUUCCACCCACGUUUGGAUUCUGGAAUAUCAUCCUUGCUUCCAUCAGAUUCUUGUAAGUACCUCACUUGGCACAAGGUAGACAUGACGUUCAAGGAAGUCAACUGCGUUGCCCAAGAGUAAGAGAAGGAAUCUCUGAAGAAGAGCAACUUUUCAGACAGGUAGAGUGUGCCUUGCUCCCAAGGAAAAGAGUUCUUGAAAAAAACAAAUGGGAAACAUGGCUACAAGAAAACUGGGAAGACUGCAAGGCAAAAACAUGCUAACUGACAAGAAAAUCAUGGGUUUUAUACAAGGAUAACAAGUGCUGGGUUGCUUAGCUAUGAGGAAGGCUAGGCUCACUGCAUACCAGAAGAUGUACAGCGUUGGAGAAUUCAGGGAUUUUUAUCAACAAUCAAACUAUAUUUGUGGAAAUUUUGUGCAUAAGUGCCAAAGAUGGCUGACAUCGGACCACAUUCUAUUUAACUCAACUGAAUGACACCAAGCUCUCAUCCUAAAACUUAUAGUUACAUCCACCCUUCUGAAAUAUUUAAUUAUUCUCCAAUACACUGGAGGUAAUAGGUAUAAAAAGAAUGAGCAUGUGCAACUUAGUAUCUCAUAUCUAAUUUUGUGUCCCAAGUUCAUUCUUCCCCUGAAUGUCCCAUGUCUACCAGGUGCAGGAUUAUCUGGAUGGGUCAGUUCAAAACAAUUUCAGGGAAUAAAUUGUGUAGGGGACUCAAUUUUCUGAGACAGAAACAUAAUGUGAAUAACUCCUUUGUUAGAAAAUAAUUUCAGUGACAGAAAGCCUUUCAGUUCAUAAAGAAAACUUACAUAUCAACAAGCCUAGCUCCUCACUAGUCCCAGUGAAUGCUUACAUCAAUCAGCUCUACAAUAUCCAGUAAAGGACUUUCCAAUUCGCCUUUGAAUAAACUGAGGUAUUGGAAACAUCUAAGAAAAUGGUUUUUAAUUCUUCCUAAUCUUCAGGGAGUUCUUCCUUAUAUUGAGCUGAUAUCUGCCCUCUGUAACUUUCAACUAAUUAUUCAAAUCUCUCAAGUGAUUAUAAUUAAUUCCAUCUUAUAAGGAAUUUUUCUCAGCUUCCAGCCUCUUGAAAAUACUCUGAUAUUUUCUCUAAUAUUCAAGUGGAAAUGUAAAUGGGUAACGUAAGAGUCUGUGGGGUUAGGAGGGUGGAGGAAAGGUAAGGGAAAGCUAAUGAGAAAUAACCAAAGCAAGAAAAAGAAUUUUAUUUUCUUCAAGUUCUUUGUACAUCCAAAGUGGAAGAUUCCUAAAAUAAAUUCCCCAUACCACAUUUUAAAAAUUAGGUUAGCAAGCUUACUUUUUAAUUUAUUUAGAAGCCAACUACUUCCAUUUAUUAUUUCUUUCCAGAAUAGAACAAUUAUCACUAAUUGUUUGUCAUUAUAAUGCCAAACUAUGUUAAUAGAUGCCUAUUUUUUUAAAGGCUAAUUGCAAUCAUGAAACCAAAUAUCUAAUUAGUUUUAGAGCUUUGGACCACAUGCAUCAAUAUUUGAAUCAUUCAGGUGUAUAUUUGCUUUCUGCUUUUUUGUCUCUUCAAAAGAAGUAUUAUAUGCAUUCUGUUUAUAAUUUCUAAAUGGUCAUUUCAAAACUGAUUAUACGAGUUUAUACAAAUCAUACUGAAAUUUGUUGCUUAAAAAAUCUUCAUUUUUCUCUAAGCUCUCAGUGUCCUUGAGCUAUAUAUAUUUUAUGGCAAUUUUUACUUAAUAGUUUGUAUGCUAGUUAUUUUUGACAAUGACUACUAAAAUGCAAGUUUCUUCAAGGGCAGAUUCACCUUAGUUCUUCUUUAUACCCCUCAAAAACCUCAGGGUUAUUCUCAAUAAGUAUUGAGUAGGUGAGUGAACUUUGGAUGUAUACUCCUUGAAAUUAUAUUUCUGGAGCUGGAAAACUUUAAAAAAAUGUAUGUCAUGAGUCUAAAGAAAUAAACAUUAUAUGGCUGAAAAAAUACUUUGUGAAAACCAAAAAUCUCAUGGAAUCAUGAACUUAUCUAUGGGACAGAUGUUAGCCCUGAGGUUGUUCUGGGCUUCUUUUCUACCCACUUCCCAUGACCAAAUCAGUUCACUAGUCAGCAGUUCUAUCCUUCCUCUCCUUCUCCUUCCAUCUAAGGAGCUAGAGCUGAACUGCUUGGCCACUGAUUGCUGACAUGCUGAGUUUUCUACAGCUGGAGUUUUCAAGAGGGCUUUGAUUUUGCUUUCCCCAGUUUUCCUUCUUCCACACUUGAAAAGUGGUAAGGGUACCAGCUUUCUGUCUAUCUCUGACUCUCUCUCUCUCUUUCACACACACACACACACACACACACACACACACACACACUUUUUUUUUUCUUCCACCCUCCUGCACAGCAGGAGACCUUGCCUUGAUCUUUGAAGGUCUACAGCAAGUGGUCUAGGCUAACUCAGUGCUGGGCAAAUGGAGCAAAAACUCUUUUCUGCUUCCUUGCCUCCAUGUCUUUCAGAGCUAGCAGAUACAGCUUUUGUUCUAUAGGAGUGAUUCUUUCUAAAUGUCAGCUCAACAGGAUGAUGGUCACUCUUGUAUAUCACUUAGGCAUGAGUUCUGUUGAAUCCCA
rnacentral:lncRNA from 10 species